rnacentral:rRNA from 1 species
UUGGGACUGAGACACGGCCCAGACUCCUACGGGAGGCAGCAGUGGGGGAUAUUGCACAAUGGGGGAAACCCUGAUGCAGCGACGCCGCGUGGAGGAAGAAGGUCUUCGGAUUGUAAACUCCUGUUGUUGAGGAAGAUAAUGACGGUACUCAACAAGGAAGUGACGGCUAACUACGUGCCAGCAGCCGCGGUAAAACGUAGGUCACAAGCGUUGUCCGGAAUUACUGGGUGUAAAGGGAGCGCAGGCGGGAAGACAAGUUGGAAGUGAAAUCUAUGGGCUCAACCCAUAAACUGCUUUCAAAACUGUUUUUCUUGAGUAGUGCAGAGGUAGGCGGAAUUCCCGGUGUAGCGGUGGAAUGCGUAGAUAUCGGGAGGAACACCAGUGGCGAAGGCGGCCUACUGGGCACCAACUGACGCUGAGGCUCGAAAGUGUGGGUAGCAAACAGGAUUAGAUACCCUGGUAGUCCACACCGUAAACGAUGAUUACUAGGUGUUGGAGGAUUGACCCCUUCAGUGCCGCAGUUAACACAAUAAGUAAUCCACCUGGGGAGUACGACCGCAAGGUUGAAACUCAAAGGAAUUGACGGGGGCCCGCACAAGCAGUGGAGUAUGUGGUUUAAUUCGACGCAACGCGAAGAACCUUACCAAGUCUUGACAUCCCUUGACAGGCAUAGAAAUAUGUUUUCUCUUCGGAGCAAGGAGACAGGUGGUGCAUGGUUGUCGUCAGCUCGUGUCGUGAGAUGUUGGGUUAAGUC